ACUCCUACGGGAGGCAGCAGUGGGGAAUCUUGCGCAAUGGGCGAAAGCCUGACGCAGCCAUGCCGCGUGAAUGAUGAAGGUCUUAGGAUUGUAAAAUUCUUUCACCGGGGACGAUAAUGACGGUACCCGGAGAAGAAGCCCCGGCUAACUUCGUGCCAGCAGCCGCGGUAAUACGAAGGGGGCUAGCGUUGCUCGGAAUUACUGGGGCGUAAAGGGGCGCGUAGGCGGAUCGUUAAGUCAGAGGUGAAAUCCCAGGGGCUCAACCCUGGAACUGCCUUUUGAUACUGGCGAUCUUGAGUAUGAGAGAGGUAUGUGGAACUCCGAGUGUAGAGGUGAAAUUCGUAGAUAUUCGGAAGAACACCAGUGGCGAAGGCGACAUACUGGCUCAUUACUGACGCUGAGGCGCGAAAGCGUGGGGAGCAAACAGGAUUAGAUACCCU
rnacentral:rRNA from 1 species